rnacentral:rRNA from 1 species
GAUGAACGCUGGCGGCGUGCCUAAUACAUGCAAGUCGAGCGAACAGACGAGGAGCUUGCUCCUCUGACGUUAGCGGCGGACGGGUGAGUAACACGUGGAUAACCUACCUAUAAGACUGGGAUAACUUCGGGAAACCGGAGCUAAUACCGGAUAAUAUAUUGAACCGCAUGGUUCAAUAGUGAAAGACGGUUUUGCUGUCACUUAUAGAUGGAUCCGCGCCGCAUUAGCUAGUUGGUAAGGUAACGGCUUACCAAGGCAACGAUGCGUAGCCGACCUGAGAGGGUGAUCGGCCACACUGGAACUGAGACACGGUCCAGACUCCGACGGGAGGCAGCAGUAGGGAAUCGUCCGCAAUGGGCGAAGGCCUGACGGAGCAAAGCCGCGUGAGUGAUGAAGGUCUUCGGAUCGUAAAACUCUGUUAUUAGGGAAGAAAAAAUGUGUAAGUAACUAUGCACGUCUUGACGGUACCUAAUCAGAAAGCCACGGCUAACUACGUG